rnacentral:lncRNA from 1 species
UUUUUUUUUCUCAUUUAACUUUUUUAAUGGGUCUCAAACUUCUGUGACAAAUUUUUGGUCAAGUUGUUUCCAUUAAAAAGUACUGAUUUUAAAAACUAAUAACUUAAAACUGCCACACGCAAAAAAGAAAACCAAAGUGGGAUAAUAUUCAUUUAGCCUUCUGAGCUUUCUGGGCAGACUUGGUGACCUUGCCAGCUCCAGCAGCCUUCUUGUCCACUGCUUUGAUGACACCCACCGCAACUGUCUGUCUCAUAUCACGAACAGCAAAGCGACCCAAAGGUGGAAAGCUUCAUGGUGCAUUUCGACAGAUUUUACUUCCGUUGUAACGUUGACUGGAGCAAAGGUGACCACCAUACCGGGCAUGUUAGCACUUGGCUCCAGCAUGUUGUCACCAUUCCAACCAGAAAUUGGCACAAAUGCUACUGUGUCGGGGUUGUAGCCAAUUUUCUUAAUGUAAGUGCUGACUUCCUUAACAAUUUCCUCAUAUCUCUUCUGGCUGUAGGUUGUUUCACACCCAGUGUGUAAGCCAGAAGGGCAUGCUCUCGGGUCUGCCCAUUCUUGGAGAUACCAGCUUCAAAUUCACCAACACCAGCAGCAACAAUCAGGACAGCACAGUCAGCCUGAGAUGUCCCUGUAAUCACAUAGUACUUGCUGGUCUCAAAUUUCCACAAGGAGAUAUCAAUGGUGAUACCACGUUCACGCUCAGCUUUCAGUUUAUCCAAGACCCAGCCUCCUUCUCAAAUUUUUCAAUGGUUCUUUUGUCGAUGCCACCGCAUUUAUAGAUCAGAUGGCCAGUAGUGGUGGACUUGCCCGAAUCUACGUGUCCAAUGACGACAAUGUUGAUAUGAGUCUUUUCCUUUCCCAUUUUGGCUUUUAGGGGUAGUUUUCACGACACCUGUGUUCAAGCGAUUCUCCUGCCUCAGCCUC